AGGGGAUUACGGGCUUCAGUCCA
rnacentral:siRNA from 1 species